rnacentral:rRNA from 1 species
UUGGAGGGCAAGUCUGGUGCCAGCAGCCGCGGUAAUUCCAGCUCCAAUAGCGUAUAUUAAAGUUGUUGCAGUUAAAAAGCUCGUAGUUGAAUUUCGGGGUCAGUAGGUUGGUCAUGCCACUGGUAUGUACUGGUCUCACUGAUUCCUCCUUCCUGAUGAGCUGUAAUGCCAUUAAUUUGGUGUUGCGGGGAAUCUGGACUGUUACUUUGAAAAAAUUAGAGUGUUUAAAGCAGGCUAACGCCUGAAUACAUUAGCAUGGAAUAAUGAAAUAGGACGUUCGAUCCUAUUUUGUUGGUUUCUAGGAUUGACGUAAUGAUUAAUAGGGAUAGUUGGGGGCAUUAGUAUUCAAUUGUCAGAGGUGAAAUUCUUGGAUUUAUUGAAGACUAACUACUGCGAAAGCAUUUGCCAAGGAUGUUUUCAUUAAUCAAGAACGAAAGUUAGGGGAUCGAAGACGAUCAGAUACCGUCGUAGUCUUAACCAUAAACUAUGCCGACUAGGGAUCGGACGAUGUUAAUUUUUUAAUGACUCGUUCGGCGCCUUACGGGAAAC